rnacentral:lncRNA from 1 species
UUUUCGAGGCCAAACUGGAAUGCUGGAGUUCUAAAUUCUGCGUAUCCCUUCUUGCAUGUGUCUUGUUGUCGACUUGCGCCAUCUUUCCCUGUGUUUCAGGCCUCACAAGAUUAAAACUUGGUAAGAAAGUAGACACGGAAGUGUGUCUCUGUCCAGUUCCACCUAAACUGUGCUGGCAGAAACUUUGGCUCCUGCUGCUUAGCUCCUUCAGCGACCUGCGAGUCUGUCUCACGAAAAGAUACCGACCGCCAUCUUGAAUUUCUAAGCACUAAACACGAAGAGAUAUGCUUCAGACCCUCUGAGCCCCUUUGUCUGCGUGGAACGGGUCUCUAGUCGCGGGUGGACAAAGCGUAGGAUGAGUGACAAACAGACGCACACAGGAGAGGUCGAGGAAUCUGAAUGUCAUUUUUCAAA